rnacentral:rRNA from 1 species
UACGAAGGGAGCUAGCGUUGUUCGGAAUCACUGGGCGUAAAGGGCGCGUAGGCGGCCAGCACAAGUCAGUUGUGAAAUCUCCGAGCUUAACUCGGAAAGGUCAACUGAUACUGCGGGGCUAGAGUGCGGAAGGGGGCAACUGGAAUUCUCGGUGUAGCGGUGAAAUGCGUAGAUAUCGAGAGGAACACCUGCGGCGAAGGCGGGUUGCUGGGCCGACACUGACGCUGAGGCGCGAAAGCCAGGGGAGCGAACGGG